UACGUAGGGUCCAAGCGUUGUCCGGAUUUAUUGGGCGUAAAGAGCUCGUAGGCGGUUUGUCACGUCUGCUGUGAAAUCCCGAGGCUCAACCUCGGGCCUGCAGUGGGUACGGGCAGACUGGAGUGCGGUAGGGGAGAAUGGAAUUCCUGGUGUAGCGGUGGAAUGCGCAGAUAUCAGGAGGAACACCGAUGGCGAAGGCAGUUCUCUGGGCCGUAACUGACGCUGAGGAGCGAAAGCAUGGGGAGCGAACAGG
rnacentral:rRNA from 1 species